rnacentral:rRNA from 1 species
AGUCGAGGGGCAGCAUGGUCUUAGCUUGCUAAGGCUGAUGGCGACCGGCGCACGGGUGAGUAACACGUAUCCAACCUGCCGUCUACUCUUGGCCAGCCUUCUGAAAGGAAGAUUAAUCCAGGAUGGGAUCAUGAGUUCACAUGUCCGCAUGAUUAAAGGUAUUUUCCGGUAGACGAUGGGGAUGCGUUCCAUUAGAUAGUAGGCGGGGUAACGACCCACCUAGUCAACGAUGGAUAGGGGUUCUGAGAGGAAGGUCCCCCACAUUGGAACUGAGACACGGUCCAAACUCCUACGGGAGGCAGCAGUGAGGAAUAUUGGUCAAUGGGCGAUGGCCUGAACCAGCCAAGUAGCGUGAAGGAUGACUGCCCUAUGGGUUGUAAACUUCUUUUAUAAAGGAAUAAAGUCGGGUAUGCAUACCCGUUUGCAUGUACUUUAUGAAUAAGGAUCGGCUAACUCCGUGCCAGCAGCCGCGGUAAUACGGAGGAUCCGAGCGUUAUCCGGAUUUAUUGGGUUUAAAGGGAGCGUAGAUGGAUGUUUAAGUCAGUUGUGAAAGUUUGCGGCUC